GCUCCGCGGUCACGUGACGCCGUCCCCACCCCCGAGGCCACAUCAGCCCUUGCAGCCGGCCGGGUGGUGGACGUGCCCUGGGGCCUCGGAUCCCCGGGCUUCGACUUGCUGUUGAUUUGACCUUGGGGUCGCACCUCCUCUCCCUCACUCCCAGAAGCUGAGCUCAGGAUCUCUAUCCCACGAUGACCGAUCGGCCUCUUCCCACCCCUCCCCCCGCGUCUCAGCCCCCCCAUCACCCCCGCGAAGACGCCCCGGCCUCCUGCCGCGCCCUGAGCCUCUGCUUUGAGCCCGAAUAUUCUUUGCAUAAUGGCCUCAUGGAAUAUCAUGGAAGUCUCUGUAGUGACGCGGUGUCUCUAUGGCGAGGGGCCCACUGAGUCUUGAGAUUGCGUGGGUCUUCCGCCACCCCCUGUGGGCCCACUGGUGCUGAGAAUGGAAGGGUCCAGAAAAACCACCCUGGUCCAAGCGAGCACCUGAAGGAGGCGCCGGUGAGAGGCUGUCUGUCUCUGGAACUAGGAGGCCUCGGCUGCUGCAGAGUUGGGGCGUAUGUCUUCUGGGGAAUUGGCAUCCACUCCAGGUCCUUCCUCCCGGAAUCCUGCGACUCCAGCCUGGGCAGUGAAGACUGGCAAGAAGGCUCACAGGACACCUGCACAGCCAAGGCUCUCCACCUUACGUUGAUCAACCUGGACCCAGCCGUACAUGAAGUCCCCUUUCCUGCCAAUAUUGAUCAUUUUGGUCAACUGGUUUCAAGAGCCAAAGAAGAACAGACACAACUGCAUUUGGGACUUACAUCAAACUCAUCCAAGCUCCAGCCAUCUUCUGCAUCCCACAGAGUACCAGCAAGGAGUCAAGCAGCAGUUCAAAGAAAACUGGAACACCAU